rnacentral:rRNA from 1 species
GACAGAGGGUGCAAACGUUGUUCGGAAUUACGGGGCGUAAAGCGCGUGUAGGCUGCUCAGAAAGUCGGAUGUGAAAGCCCUGGGCUUAACCCAGGAAGUGCAUUCGAAACUUCUGAGCUUGAGUUCUGGAGAGGAAGGCGGAAUUCUCGGUGUAGAGGUGAAAUUCGUAGAUAUCGAGAGGAACACCGGUGGCGAAGGCGGCCUUCUGGACAGUGACUGACGCUGAGACGCGAAAGCGUGGGGAGCAAACAGG